rnacentral:rRNA from 1 species
GGCUUAACACAUGCAAGUCGAGGGGUAUAGUUCUUCGGAACUAGAGACCGCGCACGGGUGCGUAACGCGUAUGCAAUCUACCUUUACAGAGGGAUAGCCCAGAGAAAAUUUGGAUUAAUACCUCAUAGUAUGUGAGAAUCGCAUUGAUUUUCAACAUUAAAGUUCCAACGGUAAAGAUGAGCAUGCGUCCAUUAGCUAGAUGGUAAGGUAACGGCUUACCAUGGCGACGAUGGGUAGGGGUCCUGAGAGGGAGAUCCCCCACACUGGUACUGAGACACGGACCAGACUCCUACGGGAGGCAGCAGUGAGGAAUAUUGGACAAUGGGCGCAAGCCUGAUCCAGCCAUGCCGCGUGCAGGAUGACGGUCCUAUGGAUUGUAAACUGUCUUUUGUACAGGAAGAAACACUCCCUCGUGAGGGAGCUUGACGGUACUGUAAGAAUAAGGAUCGGCUAACUCCGUG